rnacentral:rRNA from 1 species
UACGUAGGGGGCAAGCGUUGUCCGGAAUCAUUGGGCGUAAAGCGCUCGUAGGCGGCCCGGUAAGUCCGCUCUGAAAGUCCAAGGCUCAACCUUGGGAUGCGGGUGGAUACUGCCGGGCUAGAGUCCGGAAGAGGCGAGUGGAAUUCCUGGUGUAGCGGUGGAAUGCGCAGAUAUCAGGAGGAACACCGAUAGCGAAGGCAGCUCGCUGGGACGGUACUGACGCUAAGGCGCGAAAGCGUGGGGAGCGAACAGG